rnacentral:rRNA from 1 species
GACGAACCGUGCAAACGUUAUUCGGAAUCACUGGGCAUAAAGGGCGCGUAGGCGGCUUUCUAAGUCAGGGGUGAAAUCCGGCAGCUCAACUGUCGCAGUGCCUUUGAUACUGGAGAGCUCGAGGGAGGUAGGGGUCUGUGGAACUUCCGGUGGAGCGGUGAAAUUCGUAGAUAUUGGCUGGAACACCGGUGGCGAAAGCGGCUCUCUGGCCCGGUUCUGACGCUGAGGCGCGAAAGCGUGGGGAGCAAACAGG